CAGCAGCCGCGGUAAUACGAAGGGUGCAAGCGUUAAUCGGAAUUACUGGGCGUAAAGCGUGCGUAGGCGGUGAGUUAAGUCUGCUGUGAAAUCCCCGGGCUCAACCUGGGAAUGGCAGUGGAUACUGGCUCGCUAGAGUGUGUCAGAGGAUGGUGGAAUUCCCGGUGUAGCGGUGAAAUGCGUAGAGAUCGGGAGGAACAUCAGUGGCGAAGGCGGCCAUCUGGGACAACACUGACGCUGAGGCACGAAAGCGUGGGGAGCAAACAGGAUUAGAGACCCGUGUAGUCCCUGUCUCUUAUAC
rnacentral:rRNA from 1 species